AAACACACACACACACACCGUCUUCCUCCUCUCACCACUCACCUAUCCCCAACUCAAACCAAAAAUCCAUCGCCACCUCCACCUUCACCUCCACCUCCACAACCACUUGCUACAGCCCACCAUCAUCCACCCCAUAACAAUCCCUUAAAAAGAUGGUAGCAGGUUCCAUAAUCAUGGUUCAAUUACAGAAUCAGUUUCUUGAAAAUUCUCCGUUCGUGGGCGACGGAGCCAUGGUUGCUGAUGAAUUACUGGAACCUGCCAUCCAAAUCAUCACUUUGGGACGCAGACGCAUCUCGACACACUCUAGAAUUUUGAAUUUUUUUUUGCAGGCUCCGGCAUAGCGGAUGUUCCAUACGACGCCGUUUCCGUCCUCGUGCAAUUUCUGUAUUCUUCCAAGUCAGUUUCCCGUCCUCCUCGCCCAUUAUUAUUUCUUCCAUUUUCUAUCCCUUAAAAAGAUGGUAGCAAGUGGGCGAUAGCUUGUGGUUGUGUCGGUGGAGGUAGAAGUGGCCGUGGUCCAAUGGAUUUUUGGUUUAAGUUGGGGUGGCGUGGGAUGGGUUGCGUAAGGGGUGAGAGGAGGAAGACAGGAGGUGUGUCUGUGUAUUUUUUUUAUUUUUUAAUUUAAUUAUUAUUUAAUGU